AAGAGUCGGAUGAGGAUCUUGAAGAAGCAGCUUCCACCAUCUUCAAAGAAGUCUUGGGCAACAAAUCUGGAUACACGUCUGGUAUGGGGCACAUGGUGAUUCCAGAACCAUCUCCUUCAAUGCAGAAGAGUAGAGCUUUCAUUCGUCUCUCGGAGGAGAAUAAAAGGAACAAGAGCGAUGCUGAAAUGUACAAAAGCAAACUGGAUGGAAUGAUGGCUAAUAUUGUGGAAUUGAGGAGGAAUUUUUCAGAGCAUGAGAAGCUUUUGAUGAGCUAUCGGAACACUGAUUUACCCUCCGGUAUUGAGUCUCAUAGAGAGACUCAGCUGGAUGAUUAACUGGUUUUAUACUGAAAGUUUUUUGUGGAGGGGGUUUUUUGUGGGGGGACUCAUUUUGUGGAUAGUUUAGAGCACUAUAAUGUAAAUGCUUAAAUUCCAAGCUAAGACAUACCUAAGGUACAAUAUAUUAUGGUCUAUGAACACAUAAUAGUUAGGUUGGCUAUCUUAUAACAUAGUUACAGGAAAGGUAAGAUGAUGGGUAAACUUUUUGACUUGCUUGGUAUUUUGUCUAUAUUCAAGGGUUCAGUUCUGAAACAAAUAUGGUACAAAAGGUACAUGUAUUUUCUUUGCUUUGCAUAUAUGGAGGGAAAACAGAAUAUAUAUAUAUAUGCUGAUUGGCUGUCCAUUAUUUUCUUCAUUACAGGCUCAAUAGCAGUGAUGAUAGGCAGGGAUUUCAGCCUCAUGGAUUGUCGAUGGUAGAGCAGGAGGAUGGUUCAUGAUCUAACACAUUUUCAGAUGAAAGUGGUGACAACAUUCACCGAUCAUUUCUGGAGCAACAGGUAGAAUGCUGCAAGCUGGUUCCACGACAAUCUGAAACGCAGAUCAGAUUCAUGCUAUCCAAUCCGUGUAUAUGUCCUUCAUCCCAUCAUUCAAAGAGUCAAACAAUUGCCAAUAGAUAUAAUUCUCUCAUGUACUUGGAAUAUCAGUUGUAAAGCAAACUGUUGGUUUCAUGGCCUUGAAUUCAUUUGUGAUGAAUUAACAUUAAGGUUUCAGGUUGAACCCAUUUGGUACUGUAAUUCAGUUGGGAGAUUGCAUGCCU